rnacentral:lncRNA from 1 species
CUUACCAUGUGCUAUGUAUCCAGUGGACUCCGAGCGAGACUGAUGGGUUAAUACACAGGGGGGGUGGGGAGGACAUAAGGGACCCGGACCUCAGCGAGGCCCCAGAAAGCUCACAGGAGGGGCCUCCGAUCCUGCUUGGGGAGGGAGGGGUUAGGGAAGGAUUCCUGGAAGAAGGAGGACCUAAGCUGAGUGCUUCUAUUUUUAAUUUUAUUGGUUUCCUAAAACAUAAAAGU